UACCCGAUCGUCUAACGGUAGGACAACGGUUUCUGGAACCGUUAAUUGGGGUUCGAGUCCCUGUCGGGUAACCA
rnacentral:tRNA from 1 species